rnacentral:rRNA from 1 species
AUACGGAGGAUGCAAGCGUUACUCGGAAUCACUGGGCGUAAAGGAUGCGUAGGCGGGUAAUCAAGUUGAGAGUGAAAUCCUAUGGCUUAACCAUAGAACUGCUCUCAAAACUGGUUACCUAGAAUAUGGAAGAGGCAGAUGGAAUUAGUGGUGUAGGGGUAAAAUCCGUACAGAUCACUAGGAAUACCGAUUGCGAAGGCGAUCUGCUGGGACAUUAUUGACGCUGAGGCAUGAAAGCGUGGGGAGCAAACAGGAUUAGAAACCCUAGUAGUCC